UGGCGGCGUGCUUAACACAUGCAAGUCGAACGGAAAGGCCGUCUUCGGGGGUACUCGAGUGGCGAACGGGUGAGUAACACGUGAGUAACCUGCCCUUGACUUUGGGAUAACUUCAGGAAACUGGGGCUAAUACCGGAUAGGAGCUCCUGCUGCAUGGUGGGGUUGGAAAGUUUCGGCGGUUGGGGAUGGACUCGCGGCUUAUCAGCUUGUUGGUGGGGUAGUGGCUUACCAAGGCUUUGACGGGUAGCCGGCCUGAGAGGGUGACCGGCCACAUUGGGACUGAGAUACGGCCCAGACUCCUACGGGAGGCAGCAGUGGGGAAUAUUGCACAAUGGGUGGAAGCCUGAUGCAGCAACGCCGUGUGCGGGAUGACGGCCUUCGGGUUGUAAACCGCUUUCGCUCAUGACGAAGCUUUGUGUGACGGUAGUGGGUAAAGAAGCACCGGCUAACUACGUG
rnacentral:rRNA from 1 species